GUUUCUGUAGUUGAAUUACAACGGUGGUUUUUCGAGUCAUUAGUCUUGGUUAAAGUCCGAGUGGAAAUU
ensembl:Mt_tRNA